rnacentral:rRNA from 1 species
GCAGUCGAACGAUGAAGCCAGCUUGCUGGUGGAUUAGUGGCGAACGGGUGAGUAACACGUGAGUAACCUGCCCUUGACUCUGGGAUAAGCCUGGGAAACCGGGUCUAAUACUGGAUACGACCUUCUGGCGCAUGCCAUGUUGGUGGAAAGCUUUUGUGGUUUUGGAUGGACUCGCGGCCUAUCAGCUUGUUGGUGGGGUAAUGGCCUACCAAGGCGACGACGGGUAGCCGGCCUGAGAGGGUGACCGGCCACACUGGGACUGAGACACGGCCCAGACUCCUACGGGAGGCAGCAGUGGGGAAUAUUGCACAAUGGGCGCAAGCCUGAUGCAGCGACGCCGCGUGAGGGAUGAAGGCCUUCGGGUUGUAAACCUCUUUCAGUAGGGAAGAAGCUGAUCUUUCGGGGUUGGUGACGGUACCUGCAGAAGAAGCGCCGGCUAACUACGUGCCAGCAGCCGCGGUAAUACGUAGGGCGCAAGCGUUAUCCGGAAUUAUUGGGCGUAAAGAGCUCGUAGGCGGUUUGUCGCGUCUGCCGUGAAAGUCCGGGGCUUAACUCCGGAUCUGCGGUGGGUACGGGCAGACUAGAGUGCAGUAGGGGAGACUGGAAUUCCUGGUGUAGCGGUGAAAUGCGCAGAUAUCAGGAGGAACACCGA